rnacentral:lncRNA from 1 species
ACUUCCUGCAGAAAUCCUCCAGCCCUGUUAGAAAUGCCUCAGCCAGGGGGACUCAUCUCCUCAAACCUGGGGGACCGAGACCUAUGAGAGGUCACAGCAUGAGCCAGGACAUCGGAGGUACCCAGACAUUGUUAUGAAACUCCGCAUGUGCCCCUGGUGGACGCUGCUGGACCCAGCAUGCACACUUCUCGGCUAAGAGUCACCCUGGAUGAACCACCAUUGCCAGCGGGGAGCAUGUUGCAGCUUUCCCACGCAGUGGAUGAGAACGAAGGUUACGACCAUUGUGUGGGAGGCGUCUGUGUAGCAAUUGCUGGAAUCACUUGUGGCAUUGUAGAAAGACUGAGCGUGGGAAAGAAGACGCAUUCUGAAGUCACCCCGAUUUAUGUUAAAUUAUCACCUUGACUACUGCUAUAGAACGAAUGUUUAUGUCCCCCACCCAAAUUCGUAUGCUAAGACCUAAUAGCCAAUAAGAUAGUAUUAAUAGAUGGGGCCUUUGGGAGGUGAGUGGCUCAUGAGGGCAGAGUCCUCAAAACCAGAUAAGUGCCCGAAUAAAAGGGGCCCCAGAGAGAUCCCUUGCACCGUCUACCAUGUGAAGUGUAGAACACAGCGAGAAGGCCACCUAUGAGCCAGAACGUGGGCCCUCACCAGAACCCAGUUGUGCUGGCACCCUGAUCCUGGACUUCCAGCCUCCAAAAUGACGACAAAGAAGUUUGUUUUUCCUGAGCCAUCCACUUCAAAGUAUUCUGUCAUAGCUCCCCAAAUAGACUAAGACAUCUACUUAACCUUGGUCAAACGUUUAACCUUGGAGUCCACGCCUCUGAAAUGGUGACAAUAACACUGUGUAUUUCCUACUUUAUGAUCAGGAUUAAUAAAUGUAAUUUAUUAAUCAGAAAUUAGUAAUUUCUGAUUAUU